rnacentral:rRNA from 1 species
GAUGAACGCUAGCUACAGGCUUAACACAUGCCAGUCGCGGGGCAGCAUGGGGGUUGCUUGCAAUCCCCGAUGGCGACCGGCGCACGGGUGAGUAACGCGUAUCCAACCUGCCCUUCACCACGGGAUAACCCGGCGAAAGUCGGACUAAUACCGUAUGUUGUCCAUUGACGGCAUCCGAUUUGGACGAAAGGUUUGGCGGUGAAGGAUGGGGAUGCGUCCGAUUAGCUGGACGGCGGGGUGACGGCCCACCGUGGCGACGAUCGGUAGGGGUUCUGAGAGGAAGGUCCACCACACUGGAACUGCGACACGGUCCAGACUCCUACGGGAGGCAGCAGUGAGGAAUAUUGGUCAAUGGGCGUAAGCCUGAACCAGCCAAGUAGCGUGCAGGAGGACGGCCCUAGGGGUGGUAAACUGCUUUUAUGCGGGGAUAAAGUGGCCCACGUGUGGGUUUUUGCAGGUACCGCAUGAAUAAGGACCGGCUAAUUCCGUG